GGGGAAAAGUGAAGGUCACGAGAACAGAGAACGGGUGGAGAAGAGAAAAGGAAAGGAAUGGAAAGGAAAGGGUUAUUUUGAUGAGUAAUCCCUAUAAAUCUACGGGACCAAUGAAAACAAAGAGAAUUGGGAAUCCGUUCUUAAGAGUAAAAAAGUAUUAAGUUUUUAACGCUCUCUUUGCUCUCUCUCUCUCUCAUAGCAUAAACAAACAAACACUCAUUUCCCUCUUCCCUUUGCCACUCACCUCCCCCUCUCCCCCUCCCUUUGUCCCCAUUUGACAUUUUCCAGAAGCCACAAGACAUCAGCUGCUCGGUUGCUCGCUCUUUUAUUAUGUUCGAACUCAAAAUCAAACUCGACCAGAAAUUCCUGUCACCUUGCUUAUUGGGCCUGUCUAAUAUAUUUUGUUUUGGACCUCUAUUUGAAUACAAAAUAAAAGAAAGCUUGGAGGAGAAGGAGACACGUUGAGGGAUGGAGAACCUUACACUUGUAUGGAGGUAAGAAUUUGUCCCUGCAUGAUGGGAAAAAGAUAAUAGAAAAAUACAGGAAAAGAAGAGAAUGAAAAAUGCACAAAACAGUAUGAAGAUGAGGGAGAAGGGAAGAGAUGAUGCACUAUUUUUACGUGGUUCGGCCAAUUGAAGCCUACGUCCAUGGGGAAGGAUAAUUUCUUUUCUUAUUCAAGAUGAGUAUACAAAAGAUCUCUCUAUUUUUCUCUCUUCUUUUCUUGUAGAUGAAAGUGUUUGUGUAAAGAAAACUAAUUUGUUAGCAAUACACCUUUAUAUUUAUAGGUGUUUUACAAGAACAAAGUUGUUAGAGAAAAUAUGUAAAAUAUAUGUGUUGGAAUUCAUUUAUUUUAACAAUCUCCAUUUUGAAUCCAACUUGAAAAACUUUUAGAUCCUUUCCACUUAGCCUUUCUUCUUCUGAUCUAUCCUUUUUCAGGUAGGUCGAAACCUAUCAGUUCGAAGCACCUCUAGAGCUUCAAUGUUGAAACCGGCUUGAUGAGCAUAUCAGAGGCGUUCUUAGAGGUAAAUUAGGGGAAAUGACUUUAAACAAGUACAAGGGGAUAAAAGGAACUGUAUUGGAACAAAAAAUAUGCAUUGGUCGAGUUCUAUUGUCGACGUGUUUUACAAAGUUGUGUGCCUGAAAAUAUAUAUGUUGUUAGCCGAUUAUAUUAUAUAAAUCAUUUCUCAUCCCAUUGAUUGGUA